GAUGAACGCUAGCUACAGGCUUAACACAUGCAAGUCGAGGGGCAGCAUGAACUUAGCUUGCUAAGUUUGAUGGCGACCGGCGCACGGGUGAGUAACACGUAUCCAACCUGCCGAUGACUCGGGGAUAGCCUUUCGAAAGAAAGAUUAAUACCCGAUGGCAUAGUUCUUCCGCAUGGUAGAACUAUUAAAGGAUUUCGGUCAUCGAUGGGGAUGCGUUCCAUUAGGUUGUUGGCGGGGUAACGGCCCACCAAGCCUUCGAUGGAUAGGGGUUCUGAGAGGAAGGUCCCCCACAUUGGAACUGAGACACGGUCCAAACUCCUACGGGAGGCAGCAGUGAGGAAUAUUGGUCAAUGGACGAGAGUCUGAACCAGCCAAGUAGCGUGAAGGAUGACUGCCCUAUGGGUUGUAAACUUCUUUUAUACGGGAAUAAAGUGAGGCACGUGUGCCUUUUGUAUGUACCGUAUGAAUAAGGAUCGGCUAACUCCGUG
rnacentral:rRNA from 1 species